GACGAACGCUGGCGGCGUGCCUAAUACAUGCAAGUUGAGCGCUGAAGGUUGGUACUUGUACCAACUGGAUGAGCAGCGAACGGGUGAGUAACGCGUGGGGAAUCUGCCUUUGAGCGGGGGACAACAUUUGGAAACGAAUGCUAAUACCGCAUAAAAACUUUAAACACAAGUUUUAAGUUUGAAAGAUGCAAUUGCAUCACUCAAAGAUGAUCCCGCGUUGUAUUAGCUAGUUGGUGAGGUAAAGGCUCACCAAGGCGAUGAUACAUAGCCGACCUGAGAGGGUGAUCGGCCACAUUGGGACGGAGACACGGCCCAAACUCCUACGGGAGGCAGCAGUAGGGAAUCCUCGGCAAUGGACGAAAGUCUGACCGAGCAACGCCGCGUGAGUGAAGAAGGUUUUCGGAUCGUAAAACUCUGUUGGUAGAGAAGAACGUUGGUGAGAGUGGAAAGCUCAUCAAGUGACGGUAACUACACAGAAAGGGACGGCUAACUACGUG
rnacentral:rRNA from 1 species